rnacentral:misc_RNA from 1 species
UCCGGUUUGUCACCGGCAGUCCCAUUAGAGUGCCCAACUGAAUGUAGCAAUUAAUGGCAAGGGUUGCGCUCGUUGCGGGACUUAACCCAACAUCUCACGACACGAGCUGACGACAGCCAUGCACCACCUGCACACCAACCACAAGGGAACACCCAUCUCUGAGUGCGUCUGGUGCAUGUCAAACCCAGGUAAGGUUCUUCGCGUUGCAUCGAAUUAAUCCACAUGCUCCGCUGCUUGUGCGGGUCCCCGUCAAUUCCUUUGAGUUUUAGCCUUGCGGCCGUACUCCCCAGGCGGGGCACUUAAUGCGUUAGCUCCGGCACGGGAGGAGUCGACACCUCCCACACCUAGUGCCCAUCGUUUACGGCGUGGACUAC